UAAAUUCGCUUAUCACUGAUAAUACUUAAUCAAUUAUGUCGCUAUAAAACGCGUUUGAAAACGGAAUUUUUAAGUUUUCAGAAGGUUAUGAUCUUCAUCUUUGCUGUUUGUAAGCUACGUCAUAUUAGAGUAUGUACAUAGAUAAGAACAGGAAAAUAAAGCUGGCCAAUAUUCGGAUGAAAACGAUGCCGGUCGAAUUCCGAAAAACCUUCACGAAUUACUUAUAUACAUAUAAAUGUAUGUAUGUAGUUCAUCAUGACCUUCUUGAAUCUGUUUAAACCAUUACGGUAUGUCUCGGAUCAAUGUAUGUAGCUCGAUAGAGAACACUCUUCGGUUUUAUUUUCGCCGGGAAGUCUCAGUUGUUUUACACUGGCGGAAGAACUACUUUACGAUUAAAAAGUAUAUAAAUCAAUGCUGCGUUUAGCGCCAUAUUCCCCCAUGCUAAACCCCAUUGAAAUAAUCUGGGGAAAAAUCAAAAUGCAUGUAAAGGGGCAUAUCUCAAACCCAGUCAUAAAUGGGCCAAACAUUGUUGAACAACGGCUGCAAUAUUUGGAGAAUUUGGUGGAUGACGCGAAAACUAUAAUCCUCGGAGGAGACUGCGCGAGAGUAUUUCAGCACGCAACAUCUUUCCAUGGAAAUGCUUUAUCUUUACAAGAUAUGCAAGUUGGGACAUAAUAAACUUGCAUUUUUAAUAACAUCUAAAUAAUUUCUGAAUAAAAACGAGUUUCUCAUUUCCAAAUGA